ensembl:lncRNA
AUUCUCUCUUUAUCUUUAAUGCUUGACAUUUUAAUUAUAAUGUGUCUUAGUGUGUGCCUCUUUGAGUUUAUCUGGUCUGGUACUCUCUGUGCUUCCUGUACUUGGAUUUCUGUUUACUUCCUGAGGUUGGGAAAAUUUUCAGCUGUUAUUUCUUUGAAUACAUUCUCUGCCUUUUAUCUCUCUCUUCUGCUUCUGAGACACCUGUAAGAUGGAUGUUUGUGUGCUUGAUGUUGUUCCAGAAGUAUCUUAGACUAUCCUUGUUCUUCUUAAUUAUUUUUUCCUUUAUCUGUUCAUCUUGGGUGAUUUCCUCUAGUCUUUCAUCCAGUUUGCUGAUCUGUUCUUCUGUAUCAUCUACUCUGCUAAUGAUAGCCUCUAGUGAAUUGUUCAUUUCCAGGAUUGUAUUCUUCAUUUCUGAUUGGUUCUUUUUUAUAUUUUCCAAUUUUUUGUUGAAGUUCUCACUAAGUUCAUCCAUUCUUCUCCCAAGGUCAGUGAGCAUUGUUAUGACUUUUCAUUUGAGCUCUUUGUCAGGUAGAUUGUUUAUUUUUUUUCAUUUAGUUCUUUUUCUUGCUGUUUUCCUGUUCCCUUACUUGGAAUGUAUUCAUUUUCAUCCUCAUUUUGCCUCUUUCUCUAUUCUUAUAUCAAUUUAUUAGGUAAGUCAGCUAUGUCUCCUGAUCUUGGAGAGGUGGCCUUAUGUUAGAGAUGCUGUAUGAGGCCCAGCAGUGUGCUUCCCUCUCAUCACCAGUGCCAAGUGUUCUAGUGGUGACUCCUGUGUGUCCUCCUGUUGUGUCAGGGUUGCUCUUGCUGCAGGUGCCCAGGGAGGCUAGGCUGUUCCCCUGGCCAAUUGGUUGUAAUGUUCUGCUGUGUGUAACUGCUAUGGGCCCUUCAGUCCCUUUAUCAUUCAUGGGGUGCCCCAGCACAGUUGGCUGCAAAGUCUAACAGCACAUUCAUGUUGUAGUUUUUCUGUUAAAUGACUAGGCCUCCAGAAUGGCUGAUUGCUAGGCUGAGGGGCUUACAAUUGCUGUAUGCCUCCAGCCUACAAGGCUCCUGUCAGCUUUCUCAGGGUUGUGCCUGAGUGGGGCUGGCCCUAGCCAUGGGAGCACUCAAUUGUUUCAGGUUUUGGAAGGUGGGGCCAAUCCCCUAUGUAGCUGUCUGAGAAGAACAAGUCUUUUGCCACUGGCAAGCCCCACCACCCACAGGGCCACACAAUCUGUCAACAGAGUCCUGCCCCACGUGUACAACCUCACCCACUGAAGCAGACCCAGUUGUCCCAGUGCAGAGGCCCCACACAUUCCACCAGUGCCUGACACACUCCACCUGUUCUUUGUGCGUGCCCUUCCCCUCAGAGGUGGACACACUUACUGGGCUACAGAGGAUCCAGGCACCCAGCUAUGCAUGCCCACAAGUUGCUUGAGGGCUUGCUGUUGGGUGGUGCCAGGCUUUAGGGCAGGCUGCUUGCCCCAGCUGAGCUGAAUUAAAUUGGCUCCCUAGUGCACAGGGCAAAUCCUGGGUUGACAGGCCAGUGGAAGAACACCAAUGACAUCUGCCAGCAUCUGUGUCAGUAAGCCUGAACUAGGUCACAAUAAUGGCUGACGCCAAUGUCUCAGUCCCUGGAGAAGUCUCACCUCUCACUGAGAUGCACCCAGAGCCUAUUAGGGAAACUCAAGGAGAGGGUGUAUAGAGGGAAGACAAGAGGGCCUACUACUCACCUUGGAGAAAAAGCGCGGACAAAGAAAAGAAGCCCCUGAAGGAGGAAGGCAAGUCAGACGAAGAGGACAGCCAGGAGAAAAUGGAGCCAUCGAUUUCAUGUGAAAAGAGAGUAAAUGCACACACAUUGUUGGAGCAGUCACUCCAAAGCCAGUGUAAAGCCAGUGCAAGGCAGAAAAGCUGAAAUGGACGGAAGUGUUCAGUACGUGUGAAGCCAAGAUUUGGGAGUGGCCACCUGAAGAGUCACCUGUCAGCAGCCCCACUCAGCUUCCCUGUUUGCUGGCCCCCAGUUGGCAGCACCUUGGGCUGAGUGAGCUCCAUGGGAACUGGGAAGAGGAAUUCCUCCAGAAAUUCCACAGGCCCCUUCUGUAAUGGACAGUGCCUGUUCUGCAACUGGCUGCUGAGCUAGACAUCCAGGAGGUAGAACAGUUUUCUUGUUGUCCUCAGUACCCUGUAGAUGAGCAGCGAGUGCUCAUUAUCUUCAGUGUGCUCACUGCCUGCAAGACAGUGGAGUUUGAGUCCAUUUUAUGGUCUCCCUCAGAGAAGCCAGGGACGAGUCCACUUUAAUCUGGCGGUGACUGGCCAAAGAGUGCCUGGAAGCUGUAAGCCCC